UUUGUGGAGAGUUUGAUCCUGGCUCAGGAUGAACGCUGGCGGCGUGCUUAACACAUGCAAGUCGAACGGAAAGGCCCAAGCUUGCUUGGGUACUCGAGUGGCGAACGGGUGAGUAACACGUGGGUGAUCUGCCCCGCACUUCGGGAUAAGCCUGGGAAACUGGGUCUAAUACCGGAUAGGACAGUGGUUUGGAUGCCAUUGUGGAAAGUUUUUUCGGUGUGGGAUGAGCUCGCGGCCUAUCAGCUUGUUGGUGGGGUAAUGGCCUACCAAGGCGUCGACGGGUAGCCGGCCUGAGAGGGUGUACGGCCACAUUGGGACUGAGAUACGGCCCAGACUCCUACGGGAGGCAGCAGUGGGGAAUAUUGCACAAUGGGCGCAAGCCUGAUGCAGCGACGCCGCGUGGGGGAUGACGGCCUUCGGGUUGUAAACUCCUUUCGCUAGGGACGAAGCGUUAUGUGACGGUACCUAGAGAAGAAGCACCGGCUAACUACGUGCCAGCAGCCGCGGUAAUACGUAGGGUGCGAGCGUUGUCCGGAAUUACUGGGCGUAAAGAGCUCGUAGGUGGUUUGUCGCGUCG
rnacentral:rRNA from 1 species